AGGACCCAUAGAUACCUGGACUGAAAAAACAAGUGCAAACUGAAUAUUCAAUGUCAGGAUGUGGCAAGAUGUAUUUGGAAGUUUGGAAUCUAACAAGUUACAUCUAGUAGAAUGGAGAUGAACAUUCAGUGCUUGACAAAUGGUGGGGAUACAAUUCACAUUCAGGUGCAAUUUACAAAGGCAGACUGUAUAAAAUAAAUUUGAUUUGCACACCAGUGUAAGCCUGUGAUCACUCUUUACGGCAAUCAAUGUUGAAGUAGAAUGCAAAACAGGGGGCCAUGGAUUUCAGUUCCAGAAACAAAUGAAACACAUGGCAUGUCUCCUGCCAUCUGGAAUAUUCU